GAUGAAGAACGCAGCGAAAUGCGAUAAGUAAUGAGAAUUGCAGAAUUCAGUGAAUCAUCGAAUCUUUGAACGCACCUUGCGCCCUUUGGCCAUUCCGAAGGGCAUGCCUGUUUGAGUAUCAUGAACACCUCAACUCUUUAUGGUUUUCCAUGAUGAGCUUGGACUUUGGGGGUUUUGCUGGCCUAUGGUCGGCUCCUCUAAAAUAAAUCAGCUUACCGGUGUUUGGUGGGUAUCAUGGGUGUGAUAACUAUCUACGCUUGUGGUUUUUCCACCAGGUAACCUUCGACAGCGGAGGUUCACUGGAGCUCAUAGAUGUCUCUCCUCAGCGAGGACAGCCCUUUGAAUGUUUGAUCUCAAAUCAGGUAGGACUACCCGCUGAACUUAAGCAUAUCAAUAAGCGGAGGA
rnacentral:misc_RNA from 1 species